GUGCCAGCAGCCGCGGUAAUACGGAAGGUCCGGGCGUUAUCCGGAUUUAUUGGGUUUAAAGGGAGCGCAGGCGGACUGCUAAGCGUGCCGUGAAAGCGCGGGGCUCAACCCCGUACAGCGGCGCGAACUGGCGGUCUUGGUUGCGGGAAGGGGAGGCGGAACUCGUGGUGUAGCGGUGAAAUGCAUAGAUAUCACGAAGAACUCCGAUCGCGAAGGCAGCCUCCCGGCCCGUUAACGACGCUCAUGCUCGAAGGCGCGGGUAUCAAACAGGAUUAGAUACCCUGGUAGUCCGCGCGGUAAACGAUGAGUGCUCGGGAUUUGCCCCUUGGGGUGAGUCCCCCAGCGAAAGCGUUAAGCACUCCACCUGGGGAGUACGCCGGCAACGGUGAAACUCAAAGGAAUUGACGGGGGCCCGCACAAGCGGAGGAACAUGUGGUUUAAUUCGAUGAUACGCGAGGAACCUUACCCGGGCUUGAAAUGUGCAUGACGACCCUGAGAGACCAGGGUUUCCUUCGGGCAUGCAUGUAGGUGCUGCAUGGUUGUCGUCAGCUCGUGCCGUGAGGUGUCGGCUUAAGUGCCAUAACGAGCGCAACCCCUUCCGCCGGUUACCAUCGGGUCAUGCCGGGGGACUCCGCGGCACUGCCGCCCAAGGCGCGAGGAAGGCGGGGAUGACGUCAAAUCAGCACGGCCCUUACGUCCGGGGCCACACACGUGUUACAAUGGGGGGCACAGCGAGCUGGACCAGGGCGACCUGGUUCGAAUCAACAAAUCCCCUCCCAGUUCGGACCGGAGUCUGCAACCCGACUCCGCGAAGCCGGAUUCGCUAGUAAUCGCGCAUCAGCCAUGGCGCGGUGAAUACGUUCCCGGGCCUUGUACACACCGCCCGU
rnacentral:rRNA from 1 species